rnacentral:rRNA from 1 species
AUUGAACGCUGGCGGCAGGCCUAACACAUGCAAGUCGAGCGGAGCGGCGGAAGGGUGAGUAAUGCCUAGGAAUCUGCCUGGUAGUGGGGGAUAACGUCCGGAAACGGGCGCUAAUACCGCAUAAUAUCAGAUGAGCCUAGGUCGGAUUAGCUAGUUGGGGGGGUAAAGGCCUACCAAGUCGACGAUGCGUAACUGGUCUGAGAGGAUGAUCAGUCAAACUGGAACUGAGACACGGUCCAGACUCCGACCAUGAGCAACAGGAUAUAAUAUUGGACAAUGGGCGAAAGCCUGAUCCAGCCAUGCCGCGUGAGUGAAGAAGGUCUUCGGAUUGUAAAGCACUUUAAGUUGGGAGGCGUUACCAACAGAAUAAGCACCGGCUAACUUCGUGCCAGCCGCCGCGGUAAUAC